GCUGUCCUAUACAGGGGGACAACAGAUGGAAACGUCUGCUAAUACCGCAUAAGCCAAAUGGUAAAAGGAGCGAUCCGGUAAAGGAGAGACUCGCGUUCUAUCAGCUAGUUGGUGGGAUAAAAGCCUACCAAGGCCAAGACGGAUAGCCGGACUGAGAGGUCGACCGGCCACACUGGAACUGAGAUACGGUCCAGACUCCUACGGGAGGCAGCAGUGGGGAAUAUUGGGCAAUGGGGGCAACCCUGACCCAGCGACGCCGCGUGAGGGAAGAAGGCCUUCGGGUCGUAAACUUCUUUUGCAUGGGAAGAUAAUGACGGUACUGUGCGAAUAAGUCCCGGCUAACUACGUGCCAGCAGCCGCGGUAACACGUAGGGGACGAGCGUUGUCCGGAAUUACUGGGCGUAAAGGGCGCGCAGGCUGUGCGCCGAGUCGGCUGUUGAAAGGCGGGGCUCAACCCUGUCAAGCGGUCGAGACCGGCGUGCUGGAGAGCUGCAGAGGCAAGCGGAAUUCCCGGUGUAGCGGUGAAAUGCGUAAAUAUCGGGAGGAACAUCGGUGGCGAAGGCGGCUUGCUGGGCAGCGACUGACGCUGAGGCGCAAAAGCCAGGGUAGCGAACGGGAUUAGAUACCCCGGUUGUCCUGGCCGUAAACUAUAAAUGC
rnacentral:rRNA from 1 species